CUCCUCACCCUCCCUCCUUUCUCUUCCCCUCCCCACUUUCCCAUUUUCCAUUCUCAAAGCCACGACAGUUAGCUCGCUCAGUUGAGUUAUUUUCAGCGCCGACACCUCCAGAGUCCUCCGCUGCUCACCAAUUUACUGCACGUGCUUGCGAGCCCACUCGCAGAGAGAGGUGUGGGGGUCAGAGGCGGCGGAUGGAAAAAACUGAUGGUGUGUUAGUCCUGGUUGGAAAAGGAAAAUCCUCGUCAUCCUCCUGCUUUCCCAAAAAGGAUCGGCUAAAUGAAAGAGGCAGAGGAAGACUGACAAUGAGGGAACAUGGACGUAAACGAUGCAGGUGCACACAAUGUGUUUGGUGAGUAACACUGAAUGUAUGCAGAACAUUUACAAGAAAUCCCCACAGGGCACAUUUUAGAUAUGGAGGCGGAGCUUGGAGGCAACUACGAGACCGGCUCUGGCUAGCAACCUCACUGUAAUAACGAGACUCCAGGAAGUCACCGCACCCAAAAUUGUUCCAGCAAGUAACUCCUAAAACCCAAACUAUAUGUGAUCACUAAUAAUGUGAUUAUAAGUGAGAUUUAAAGAUGUUGGUUGGCAUAUUAUUUGAAACUGAGCCAGGCUAGCUGUUCCCCCUGCUUCCAGUCUUUGUGCUAAGCUAAGCUUAUUACUUACCAGUUUUGUACUUCGUUCACCGACAUGACAGUGGUAUCGAUCUUCUAAUCCAACUCUAAGAAUGCAAAUGAGCGUCUUUCCCAGGUAAAUUAUAUUAGAAAGAAACAAAUCGUUGUUGCAUGUGCGAAUCGCCCUGAAUAGAAUUCGACAACUGAAAACGACACAUCCUCACUGAGAGGGUUCAACUGAAAUGAUUCGAAACAAUGCUGCUGGAAAUCUAGGGUGAUUUUGUACAAAACGGUCACAUGAAUGAGGCAUAAGCAGUCAAUCAGUCGAGCAGAGGUCUCACAGCCCAGCUGUCAGAAAGCUGAGCUUUCCUCUCUCCUUACUCAGCAGAGCAGAAAAAAAACACACACUCUUGUCUCUUCAUUUCCUCGCUCUUUCUUUGCCCCCCCCACCCCCCGCUCCCUCUCCUCUGUGAUGAAUGGAAGGUAUGAAUUCUCCGCGGCCUCCCCGGGUUUCUCUCUGAGGCCCUCAGCAGCUGAACAAACAACACGCUCCCAACUUAAAGGCGCAAUCAGGAAUUUAUUUGAACCAUGUACGUUUUGGGUAUAUUUGUGUAUAGCCUGAAGCACUGGAGUAGGAACAUGGAAAAAAGAUUUUUGUAGAGCUGUCAUUUUUUCACUGCAGUUGUAAACAAAACCUUUCAUGAGCUCAGGUCGAAGCGGUUGAACGCUCAUUUAUCAAAACUCCGGUAAUGAAUUUUAAUGAAGAUAAAAGGCAAAUAAAUAAUUACGUAAACAGAGCCAGUAAUGGGGAAAACUUCCCUCAGUUCUGUCCUUGUGGGCACAGACUCAGAGAGGUGGAGGUGGUGGUGGUGGGGAAGAAGAGGGAGUGGUGUUGGUCAGGUCUGGAGGGGUGGUCCUGGUCAGGAGUCGGACCCAGCUGUUGUGGCCUAUUUAUCCAUUCCACAGCACCAGAGGUUGCGGUGGAGUGUUGGAUGAGUUAGAGAGGCAGAGCAUGAAACAGAGAGAGGGAGAAAGAGUCUGUAUGACAGGGGGGUGGAAGAGGAGAUGGAUGAGGAUGAUGAGAAGCAGAUGGAGGGUGUUUUUUUCCCCUUUUUUCUUCCUAUCUGCCUGUGACGCAGGUUGAGCUGUCCAGGUGCAUUGUGGGUAACUUGUAUGAAUACAUGCCCAGCUUCUUGCGGCUUCAAAUUGAUUGAGGAGGACUGGCUGCGGUGAUGCAGCUGUCUGCCGAAGUAUAUGCAGAUCAUUCACUUUGGUAAAAAAUACCGAAAUCCUACGUAAAGAGAAUAACAGAUGUAUUACCAGCAAAAUGUACUUAAAGUAUUAAAAGUAGAAGUACUCAGUAAAAUGUCCCCUGUGAGUGGUAUAUUACUAUUUACGCCAUUUUUAGAUUAACUCUAAAUACAAUACAUCAAUGUGAAUUUUACUGAUGAAGCUGCUCGUGGUGGAGCUAGUGUGAACUGCUUUAAAUAGAACUCAGUAGUUUAGUUCAGUGGUUCCCAUCCUAUGGCCCGGACCCCCAGCAGAGGGUCACCAUACACAUCUGAGGGGUCGUGGGAUGGUUAAUGGAGUUCUACACAAAUUUGUACACAUUUAUUUUACUACUACUACAGGCUUAUUUUACUCCUUUGGUACCAGUUAUGUAAAUGAAACCAUUUGAGAAGGUUUUAGAUGAAAUGUCUCUUUGGUGAAACUGCUCAAAACUCGUGGUACAAAAUAAAAUGUCAACCUCAUGGUGAUGCUAGGUAAGACGAUCAUCCUCUGAGGACCAUGACCUUUCUUAGAAAAUCUCAGUUUAAUCCAUCCAGCAGUUGUUGAGAUAUUUCAGUCUGGACAGACUGACUGCCAUCCCUAGAUCAGCACCACUAGCAUGGCUAAAAAAGUGCAAUAUUUUACUCUAAAAUGUAGUGAAGGAGUAUGAAAUAGAUACUUGACUACAGUACUUGGGUGCAUGUGUUUAGUUUCUUUCCACCGCUUCCAGGCAGAAAGGUGAGGCUGGAGCCGCUCGGCGAGAUGAUGUGAAAUACACAGUAGAACGCUGGCGGCUUGACAGCUCUUUAACGAUCUGCAGGCUGUGUUAUUCGACUGGUCUUCACUCCCCCCACCCAGCCAUCCAUCCACCCACCUCUGCACGCUGCAGCAGCCAGAACAUUCCUCACACAUCUGGCCCCCGAGUCUUUCCCAAACACUCCCUUCUCCUACCACUCUGCGCCGUAAUUACCCACAAGCCCUGUGUUCUCCUUUUCUUUUUAUGAUCCUCAGCCCCCUCCCUGCCUGAAAUCAUAAAAGUGUGGAGCACACAAACGUCAUUUAUAGUCUUGAUUUAAAAGGAAGGAGGCUUUCUGGUGUCCACAGAGAUGUGCCAUCCAGAAAUAUGCUUUUUCCUCCGCCAAGUGUGUGUUGCCAGAACUUAUAAAAGCAAGACAAACAUAAUGAAUCAGUUACCCAGUUUGAACCGUAAUUUCUUCUCUCGAUUGUUGUUUGCCCCCUCGAGAUGUUUCUGCUGUUUUGAGGCAGCUGAGUAACGCAGGAUUCAAUGAGUGGGUGUGGGAAUGAGGACAAUUCCCGAUGAUAUAGACGUCUCGUGGGAAUGUUUGUGUUUGUUUUCCAGCUGUGGAAAAUAACUACAGUACAUUCACUCUAGUUUAAAUUUCAGGUAAUUGUACUUAACUUUCCAUUUUAUGCUACUUUAUACUUCUGUUCUACUACAUGUCAAAGGCAAGUAUUGCACCUUUUACUCAACGUUAUUCUGACAACUACGGAAACUACUUAGAAUGCUUCUCAACAUGUCGACAAAGAGCCGGCAGCUCAUAGCUAACGAUGCUAACAGUGCUAACAAUGCAAACUACAGUGCUUAAAGAGCUCACAGGGUUUACCUGACUGGGAGCCGGAGGGUUGGUGCUGUGCUUCAGUGACGAGGCUGUCGAUCGGAGCGAGGUUAUCAGCUUUAAACCGCAGUAUUAGAGCUAUGUUAAUGUACAUAAUGUCUAAUACAGUCCUGAUAAAGUUAAGAUUGUAUUUUAAAAAAUCUUGAGAAGCUAAUAAGCAGUGUCUAACUGGAGCUCCGUGUCAUGUUUCAGAUGUCUAUGAGCUUUGAAUGUCUUUUUUGAGGCUCAAAAAAGUUAAAUUAUCCAGUAUUUUACAAAAAAAAAAUAAGAUAUUUUUGUGUUUUUCUUAAUCAUCUCAUGAAUCUCACACAUUCCUAGGAGAUGGGUUGAUGUGAUAAUAUAACACUCCCAGGGGGCGUUUUUUCUGCAGAACUAGCUGUAUUGCUAAAGGAUCUGAACGCUUCUUCCACCCCGCGUGGUGUGAGAGCGAGACGCCCAGGGGGUCAGAGGUCGGCUGGCAUGUGGGGUCGGUCAGCGCUGAUGCGUCUGCGGCGAGCCACAUGUCGAAGCAUCCACAGGAAGUGAGGCCGCAUGCAAGGGGGCUUGCAUACAGGAAGGCGCUUUGUUGACGCUCCCUGCCAGGAAAGAACUAUUGUUAACAGUACCCGGCGGUGUUUUUUAUGUGACGGCACUGUUUACUCCUGCUUUGUCUGUAAUCUCAGGCCCCUCGCUCUUGUACCUCCCCCGGCUGGCACUCGGCCACACAUUUGUCUUGCCGCUCUUGUGUCUUUCAGAUAGUGGCUUACUUUCACACUGUGGGAACAAUUGUUGCGACACUUGAGUGCUUGCUAUCUGAAUUGGAUUAAAGGUUUGUUUGGAGGUGGAUAACGCCCACUAGAACUGAUAUAGGGGGAAUACAUAUGAGUAAUAGCUGACGAUGACAACACCUGUAGAUUGGAAGAUGGAAAGAGAGGCAGAUGAUAAAGGGAAGAAUUGAAAGUAAAAGUUCUUUGAAGCAUACGUUCUCAGAUCCUUAAAAGCAGUGUUUAAAGCAAGUGUCCCUGGCAAUGAAGUUGUACUUAUAUCUUGUUUUUGUUCUGAAAUCAGACACUUUUCAUUGUCCUUUACUGAGAAACGCAACAACCCCUCUCUACGCUGAAAAACAAAGGUUCCCUGGCUAACUGGUGCUAAACAGAUUUAUGACUACUAACUGAAGGACUGGUUCAACACCUACACGGUUCAUUUGUUUUAUUUGAGGAACAUUUCAUUGUUCCAUGUGGCUUCUGUUAGUCUGAAAAUACUUUCAACAGUUUGGUGUUGUAGUGUUACAAGUGUAUGCUUUUGCAACAAGCCAGUAUCAUUGAUCCUGUCUACGAGUAUAUCUUAAUCAUAGUUUCUGUCUUUACUGUUUAAUUUAGAGACAUUUCACUGUGUUUUUAGGCAAAAACAAAGAUAAUGGAGCGUCUGUUUACUAAAAAAAACCCGAUACUUUUGUACCCAAUGCCUACUUUUCCAGAAACAUUUCUUGCUAGCAGUGUGUUUUCUCCUCUGAGAUCCUCCCUUAUGACAUUCUUUCUGUUGACCAUCAGACUUUACGCUCAGCGGCCCUGCAGCCCUGCUCUCCGUGCUCAAAUCCCCCCUCAGUCUGCCUUCAAUAGAAAUGGAAAUUUGAGGCCCUCCCCUCCCGCGGCUCCCCCGUCUCCUUGCUCCACUCCCCCAGAAUGAGCCAGGAUGUUUUGAGAAGUGGGAUAUUGCUCCUAAUGGAUUCCAAACACCACAAAAGUUUAUUAGGAAGCAGGGCAUCGUAAAAGUAGGAGGUGGGGGUGGAGGGUAAGUAGGAGAGGAGAAGUACGUAUAAUGUGUUGGAGUGUGGAUAGUUUCUGUUUUGAUUUAGCAGAGCAUAUAUUUUCACUUCUCUGUAUGAAAUGAACAUUAAGCAGUGAUGUUGAUACAUCACUACAUUAACCUGCCUGUCCACAUGGCUGGGGCUGUGUUUCUUUGUUCAGCCAGGUGCUUUUUUUUACUCUUCUUCUUCUUUCUCUGACACAGUUUCAGUGGCAUGACGGAUGCAAAUCAAAUGACAACAUCAUGUUUCAUAAAGACCUCAUAAUGUAGCGAUGUCCUUGAUGACAAACGAAAACUAUCAAAAGGUGGAAUGUCCCAAUUCUUUAGUGUCUAAAUGUGUCUAUGUUGCAGUAUUUCUCACAAAAUGAUCUUCAUUGUCGUGUAAUUGAAUAAAGUUUACUGUACCCACAUUACUGAUGAAUAUUUAUCAAAAGUCGUAGGUAAAUAUUUUGUGAAAACACGAAUAGUCAACCCUACAAUAUUGUCGCAAAAUUGAUAUUGUGGUAUUUGGUCAAAAAUAUUUAGAUAUUUGUUUUUCUGCAUUACUUUAGCUCAUUGCUUUGUGUGAGCUCCAUUGUUGGCCAGAAACUACUCAAUUUGUAUAAAUCCUCAGCAGAAAAUAGUGUUCGAGUAAUGUUUUAGGAAAAUGACUGAGCGUAUAAAAAGACGUUGAACUAUUCCUUUAACAAAGUGAUGAGUGAUUUAUGACUCCAUCAUCCAUCUUUCAGACAUAGACACUGCAUAGUUGUGCCUGUAUACGUCCAAUGAAAGCUUAACGGAAAAUGUGGAAUUAGAUUGAAUGCCUUCGCAGUGUGUUGGCUUGUGUGUCAGAGCAGUUUUCCUGUGUGUGUGUGUGUGUGUGUGUAUUCAUGGCCUCCUCUUGGCUGUGUCCAUCCUUGCGUCAGAGGUCCUAAUCUUGUCCUCUCCUCACAAAGCCUCUCUUUGAUGUGCUGAUGCUGCUUCCUGCCAUGUUCAAAUACAGCUUCACAAUCAAAUUGAGUCCGCCUCCACUGCAUGCAUUAGUGUUUAAAAGCGUUAUUGAUCAGGAAAGAAUAACUCUACAAGACCCUCUCUCGUUUCAUCCCCCGCCUCGGCCUUGUAAGCGCUGCCUCAGAAGUGAAGCAGUGAGUUGAGGAGUCCUGGAAGGAACAAAUACCCACCAAUGACUUUCCCUCUCAAUGGAUGAUACGAGGCUCUUGAGAGAAAAGAUUGGAUUGCAUUUGUGAUUUUCUGCUUGAUCCUUUAAUCCUUUAGUCUCUUUUCUUUGACAACAAAACCUAAUUUCACUCCUCAAAUCCUUAUUCUGCCCAGCCAGUAUUGUCACUUGUUGAUUUUCCGAUGGCACCUUUAACUAGGCAGUUAGACGACUACAUCGACAUUUUUAGGAAUAUGCUUAUUUGGGUUUUGGCUGAGCGUUAGAUGAGAGGAUUGAUAUCACUAUGUCUUUCCAAAAAUAUGCAGCUAGAGACAGGGGCUCUUUAGUUUAGCAUAACGACUGGGAACAGGGGGAGAAGGCUAGCUUGAGUCUGCCCAAAGGUAACAAAACCACCUCCAGCACCUCUGAAGCUCACAAAUGAACACAUUAUUUUUUGUUUGUACAGUGAAAAUGUGUAGUAAUCAAGAGGCUUCAAGACUAUUUCUUGGCCGAUACCAGUAACUUCCUGGAGUCUCAGCAGCACAUUUUGAUAGCUGUGGUAGCAUAAACUUUAGUGUGUAGGUUGGACUGUAGAACACUUACACUUGACAAAAUGUAGUUGACACAUUGAUCUUUUCAUGUCGUUGAUUCAUGAUUCAUCCAUUCACCUCAUGGUCGCGGUCGUAAACCUUCUCCAAGUCCACAAAACCCAUGUAGACUGGAUGGGCAAACUCCCAGGACCCAUCCAGAGCAGAGCUGGUCCACUGUUCUAUGGCCAGGAGGGAGUCCACAUUGCUCCUCCUGUACCUGAGGUGGGACUUUCAGUCCGAGCCUUCUUUACAGAACCCUAGAAUACACUUUAUCGAGGAGGCUGAGCAUGCGAUAGCCCAAAAACUGGAGCACAUCCUUCGAUCCCCCUUUUUAAAAAAGGGAACCACCACCCCGGUCUGCAUACAUGAAAGCUGUAUCAAAGUUCUCAUCUCACCCUGAGCAACAAAGUGAAUAAGCGUAUUUCCCAAAAAUGUCAAACUGUUGCUUUAAGUAAUUUUCCCCCCACAGAUCAUUCGCCAUGUGUCUACAAGAGAGUUGGCGUCUCUGUUCCUCAUCAGUGGACUCCUGACAGACGUGCCCUCCAGCCCCAAUAAUCAACCCCCAAAAAAUGAGGGGAGAUGUUUUCUCUCGGCUGCUAAGUGGGAACAGAAAAGCGCAGUGGGAAGGGAAGGGAAGGGGGGGGGUAGUCAGCUGAAGAUUGGAAUUCUCUGAGACGUGUUUGGCCCCCACCUCCAUGGGCCCUCCCGAGCCAAGUUAGCCGUUAAAUCCCCCUUUCUUCUUACUGAUGACCCGUGAGUGAUGUGGGGGAGGGGCCACAGGGUCAAUGAAGAGUGUGGUGGGGAGGAAGGGGAGUGGAGGGAUGGUGGUGAUGAUGAUGAUGAUGGUGGUGGUGGUGGUGGUAGUGCAGGGGAGGGGGGGUAAAAAACGAAGACGAGGCAAAGCCUGGCAAGGAGGCGCACUUGUCUUUCCACUCCUGUAAUCCCUCCAAUUUGAAUUAUUAAAUCUAAAUCUGUGUUCCGGAUUCAUCAGAGCCCACAUUGCUCGCAAAUUACUCCCAGGUGUGUCGAGGACAUUGCUGCGCAUGGAGAUGAGAACACGAACCAGCGGCAUGGCCGCUUAUGGAUGCAAUCACACACUUUGGUGCAGCCUGGAAAGUCUGAAGUAGUUAGUUAUGAAUAAUGUUGGUGCCGGGCAAAACGCCAGCUUGAUGACUUCUCUUUUUUAGCUCCCUGAUGGAUUGAGAAACUUCUGGGUUGGGUGGAGUUUGUGAACCCUUUUUAGAUGAGCUUAUAAAACAAAACAAGCAGUUAUAUAAACUCAUACAUUUGUCAUGCAGUUCGCAGCUGUCAUGCAGCUGUCAGCACCUGCAAAGCUGAUUGUAUAAGACGGCAUACUGAUAUUGCUCGUGAUGUGGUAGUUCUCACUGGGUACAACGUGUUCCAAUGUGAUGUGGUAUGUUUGAAAAGGUGUCAUGUGAAACUCGGAGAUUAGAAAAGGACAAAGCGAGUGGGAGUAGUUUUGUAUUCAGUGCCUUCUCGAAAUGCUGUGAGACUGAAUAUAACCUUUAUUUAAUCAGGUAAUCGCACAGAGUUCAAGAUCUCUUUUGCAUGAGAAAGCAGAGAGGACAAAAAAACACACGAAGCAGAAGGACAAAUACAUACAAUAAACUAUUAAAUCAUUGGCUUUUGAUAAAACUGAAUUUGAAACUGUUAUCUUAAAAACUUGUUUAUGGCUUACAUGUUAGCGAAUAGAUAUUUACACAUCUAAUAGACACAGAGCAACAUUAUGAUGAACAUGAGUCCAAUAUUCACUCUCUUUUAGUUUUAG